CUCAUACCUAAACCCAAGAAUCACUUUCUUAUAGUGAUGAUUUAAACAGAUGCAAACAGCAAGCACAUCUUGUCACCUUUGUGGGGCAGUGGCUGUGCCCCUCACAGUAAAUUUGGAGGUUCUACAUCC
ensembl:snoRNA